UACGUAGGGUGCAAGCGUUUAAUCGGAAUUACUGGGCGUAAAGCGUGCGCAGGCGGUUUUGUAAGUCUGUCGUGAAAUCCCCGGGCUCAACCUGGGAAUUGCGAUGGAGACUGCAAGGCUAGAAUCUGGCAGAGGGGGGUAGAAUUCCACGUGUAGCAGUGAAAUGCGUAGAGAUGUGGAGGAACACCGAUGGCGAAGGCAGCCCCCUGGGCUAACACUGACGCUCAUGCACGAAAGGCGUGGGGAGCAAACGAGG
rnacentral:rRNA from 1 species